GCAGACAUAAUUUAACCCAAAAUAUUAAGCUGUGGACUUAAAAACAAAGCCUCACCAUCUUUUGUCUGCC
rnacentral:tRNA from 1 species